CGGUUUCCGGACCCCUGCUGUGAAGUAAUGUAAAGUGUAGUGUACGUAUAGGUGGACAGUGGUCAUGAUUGAUGGAUGAAAUAACAGACGACCAUACCUGCUCUUGAUGCACUGUUCUGAAUGACAGACUACUUUGCAGCCAAAUAGUGCUGAUCACACAGAGCAGCAUCUGUCUGACCUACAGUCACUCAUCUCACAACAACUGCCUGCACCUGCAGUAGUGUAUUGCAUACUGACUGUAUGCCAGCAGCCAGUCCAGGGACGUGUGCAGCUGACCAUGACCGUGAACAGAGUCUCGCUUGGUGAGGUGCAAAAUGGAGGACAAGCUGUGCCAACUUACAAAUGAAAUUACAGUUGUCCCUCGCAAUAAUGCUCUUCACGAUAUUGCAGAUUCACUUAAACCACGGGAUAAUCAAUGAUUCCCAUAAAUUUCAGUAUUUUCCCCACAGACACACAUCUUCACGCCAUCGGAAAUAGCAUAUCAACAAAUCUGUACUGAAUUAUGAGUGAGUGAGUGAGUGAGUAUGUUUUACGCCGCUUUUAGCAAUA